UCUUCAUUUGUCGUACUCUCUCAUCGGACAGAGUGACGAGAGAGUACGUGAAAUGAGGAGA
rnacentral:pre_miRNA from 1 species